rnacentral:lncRNA from 1 species
AUGCACAAAUAUUAACCUUCUUCUAAUCAAAACACUUAUUAACACAUGCAUAUCUAGCAUAAUUCAUAGUAGUAGUAAAUAAAGUCUGAUCUGUGAACUCAACAAUAUUGCUUCUCCAUUUAGCAGAGUGCCUAUGUAAUUUCAGAAAGGAAAAAGGAAAAGCCAAGUCACAUGAGAAGAAAAUUAUUGGGGUGCCUUUGGGAAGCAAAAUGGUGAAUUUAAACUUGCACUUUUCAGACAUUGAUUGCAGCUGGGACUGAAAGCACAGCAACUACUUUGGAGUAGCAAUGUCUCUUCUCCUUAGGACCUUAGCCAUCCAGAAGCCAUGAAGAAAGCAAUAGCUGAGGUUGAAAGACGUGAUUGGACAAGCUUAAGAAAAAGACAUCCCAAAUCUGAAUUUGUCUGAAUUGACAUUAUCACCGAAGCACUAAAUUACAUCCUCUUGCUCUUCUUGUGCCACACCAGUCAGCUUAAGAUUGUAAUCUCUGUGGAUAUGAGGUACCAAAAGGCACGAUGUUUUUCACCAAUGUAUGGACCAUCGAAAGAGAUCCAAAACUGUGGGAUGAGCCAGAAAAAUUCAAGCCAGAAGGAUUCAAUGGAAAGGGAGUUGAAAGGGGACAAUUCAAUCGAAGAUCUAGUAAAGCUAAAAAAGUACUGUCACUUAAGUUUGUUGUAUCGAAGAAUGAUUUGUUAUUUGCCUGAGCAAAUCUUCAACAACUACGUAGUUCCUCCAUUCUCACUGGCUUAUCAUAUGUAAAAGAUGAACUUAUUUUAUAGGGGUAACAUCUUUCAAAUGGCAGAAUCACCAGAAAGGGGCAACUAGCCAACCAAAAAUGUCUCACAAUCUCGAAACUAACUUAUCAUUCAUAUGAUUAGGCUCUCGUCCCUCCAUUUGUUGCUCUUAGGAGAGAAAAUGAAGAAUGUGAAGAUACAUGGAGUUCUAUGACAAAUACAAGAAUCAGUAGAUAACUUUGUUACUGCCAAAAGAGACUACAAUAUUCUGCUUUUGAUGCAAGAUGGACCCUUUUCUGAGAGAGGCAUCAAUUUUCUUUUUCUAAUUACUCGAAUUACGUCAACAAAUUGAAUUCCUUUUCUCUCUCUAAUUUUUUCGUGGAAAUCUGCUUAUUAUAUUUAAAAAAAUAUGGGUUUGAAGUCAUGACUGCAAGAUUUUGAAUCUAAGCAACAAAAAUAGAGAAAUUUAAAAAAUAACUUGUUUUUCUUUUGGCGUUUAAUUAAGAUUCUCUUGUUCCCCCUUCCCAAAUGAAGAACUUGCAUACUGUAUCCAACAACACUCACAAGACCUUACACGAAAUUGUCACAUAAACAACAUACACCAAGAUUUUCACUUUUCUUAUCCUCUUUUCCUUUGACUUAAACUUAUAUAUCUUGGAAAGUUUUACACUUUUUUGAAGUCACAUAAACAUACACCAAGUUUCUCACUUUUCUUAUCCUCUUUUCAUUUGAUCGACACCGAGAUUUACACUUUUCUUAUCCUCUUUUCAUUUGACUUAAAUGACUUAAACGAUCAGAGCAUUUGUGCAAAAUAAACUCUACAGGAUUCAUUCCUUCAAAAGCAACAUAAAAAGUCACAAAUAUUUUCCAGCUUAUUAUUCUGGACACCCUUAACUUGAAUGUGCGUACUUAUGACUCUUUCACGUGAAGAUCUUCUACUGAAUAAACUUGGUCUUAUUUUGGCUAAAUAAAUUGUUUCUUAUUUUGGAAAAGUUGCUAUUAAUGACACAAACAUAAGAUCCAACUGUGAGGAUUGAGGCUUCAGAUUCGUCUGAUUUGAGAAUUAAAGGUCAAGGUCUAGAAUUAAAGACCUAGUAACAAACAACAAAAAAGUUCUUUCACCAUGGAAUACAUUAAUAUUUAGAGACAGCCUUUGAAGUUUUAGAUUAGAAAGCUAUGGAACGUUAAUGAUUUGCACUUAACCAAAACUUUAGCAAAAAUAAUUAUAAUAAUUCUUACGGUCACAGAAACGUAUCCAUUCUUCCAGGGACAAUAUAAAAAAUGAGAGAAAAAAUAAAACAAGAAAGAGAAAAUAGAUAACAAAAACGCUUUCUUUCCAAACAUCACAGAAAACAAAAUGAAAAAAAAAAUAAAAAUAAGAGAGAGACAGGGAGAAAAAGGAAAAAAGGGCUUCCUAUUACUAAAAGUGAAGAGUGAAACCAAGAAAAUGCCAAACUUUUGUAUCUUAAAAAGAUUGUGUCACAGUCUUGGAUAAUUAUCCUCGUUACUGAGAAAUAAAGGAUAGCAUAUAUCACUAGAAUGGCCAAAUUUAGAAGCUAGCUAGCGGCCCCACCAAAAUUAUAUAUAUAACUAACCAAGUCCUUGUAAUCUUUGUGAUAAUCUUUGAGAGAUAGCAGUAGAACAACACAAGAUGAUCCAUUAGAUAGAGAUAGCACUAAGUUAUUUAUAAUACUAGCAAACCUACCAAAGUAAAACAGUAACUUAUUUAUAAUACUAGUAAACUUACCGAAAUAUGCACAAGAAUUUAGAACCUCCAAUCAUCUCCAUCUCCAUGGUUCCCUUCCCCUCAUUCCUUCGGGUUUUUUGAGGCACAUAGGGCAAGCAGCAAACCCCUAGAGGUAAGACAAGACCAAGAUAAUGCAACAAAGGUCCAGAACCAAGAGCCAAAACCAAGGCUAAGAUAAGCUCGACAGACCCCACAAGAAAUGAGUUUUGUCUCCAGCAGCCUCUCCCCACACAUGACGGUAGUGGCAACAAAGUAGAAGAAGAAGGUUCCCACCAAAGAAGUUUCGUUCAGCCCGGAGAGUAUGGCUGAACCGAGGUAGAUCGGCCGAGGAUACUAAACUUGAGGUGCAGCACCCUAUACGCUUGAGUCUUUUCAUAAUCGUGAAGGAGAAAAAAAUCUAACAUGAGAAUGACAACACCUGAAACUCUGGAGACGAAAUUUACCGUCAUGGGAUGCUGCUCAC